rnacentral:rRNA from 1 species
UGGGGAAUCUUGCGCAAUGGGCGAAAGCCUGACGCAGCGACGCCGCGUGAGUGACGAAGGCCUUCGGGUUGUAAAGCUCUGUGGGCAGAGACGAAUAAACGCGGGUGAACAAUCCGUGUGAUGACGGUAUCUGCAUAGCAAGCACCGGCUAACUCUGUGCCAGCAGCCGCGGUAAGACAGAGGGUGCAAACGUUGUUCGGAAUUACUGGGCGUAAAGCGCAUGUAGGCGGCCACGCAGGUCGGAUGUGAAAGCCCUCGGCUCAACCGGGGAAGUGCAUUCGAAACCGCGCGGCUCGAGUCCCGGAGAGGAAGGUGGAAUUCUCGGUGUAGAGGUGAAAUUCGUAGAUAUCGAGAGGAACACCGGUGGCGAAGGCGGCCUUCUGGACGAGGACUGACGCUGAGAUGCGAAAGCGUGGGGAGCAAACAGGAUUAGAUACCCUGGUAGUCCACGCCGUAAACGAUGGGUGCUAGGUGUUGCAGGUUUUGACCCCUGCCGUGCCGUA